GCCAUGGCCUACCUGCUGAACAGCUUUCCUUACAUUGAACAGAUUCGAGGAUGUCCAUUCCAGGUCUGUCACAUGUGACACAGUGGAAACCAUUACAUACUCCAUCUCUCUAAAGAAAUAAAGAAAAGGCCUGUUCACUGCACAAUCUCAUAUCACGGAACAAUUCUUCCAACAUUACAAAGUGAAAUCUCAUAAAGAGACCGGUACCAGAAGCCACAGUUUCUUACCUUCUAUUUGGUUGUGCACACUGUGACCACAAUUUCAUUAUAACCAGGUUUAACCC